GAAUUCAGUGAAUCAUCGAAUCUUUGAACGCAUCUUGCGCUCCUUGGUAUUCCGAGGAGCAUGCCUGUUUGAGUGUCAUUA
rnacentral:rRNA from 1 species